rnacentral:rRNA from 1 species
GACGAACGUUGGCGGCGUGCUUAACACAUGCAAGUCGAACGGAAAGGCCCUGCUUUUGUGGGGUGCUCGAGUGGCGAACGGGUGAGUAACACGUGAGUAACCUGCCCUUGACUUUGGGAUAACUUCAGGAAACUGGGGCUAAUACCGGAUAGGAGCUCCUGCUGCAUGGUGGGGGUUGGAAAGUUUCGGCGGUUGGGGAUGGACUCGCGGCUUAUCAGCUUGUUGGUGGGGUAGUGGCUUACCAAGGCUUUGACGGGUAGCCGGCCUGAGGGGGUGACCGGCCACAUUGGGACUGAGAUACGGCCCAGACUCCUACGGGAGGCAGCAGUGGGGAAUAUUGCACAAUGGGCGGAAGCCUGAUGCAGCAACGCCGCGUGCGGGAUGACGGCCUUCGGGUUGUAAACCGCUUUCGCCUGUGACGAAGCGUGAGUGACGGUAAUGGGUAAAGAAGCACCGGCUAACUACGUGCCAGCAGCCGCGGUGAUACGUAGGGUGCGAGCGUUGUCCGGAUUUAUUGGGCGUAAAGGGCUCGUAGGUGGUUGAUCGCGUCGGAAGUGUAAUCUUGGGGCUUAACCCUGAGCGUGCUUUCGAUACGGGUUGACUUGAGGAAGGUAGGGGAGAAUGGAAUUCCUGGUGGAGCGGUGGAAUGCGCAGAUAUCAGGAGGAACACCAGUGGCGAAGGCGGUUCUCUGGGCCUUUCCUGACGCUGAGGAGCGAAAGCGUGGGGAGCGAACAGGCUUAGAUACCCUGGUAGUCCACGCUGUAAACGGGGGGUACUAGGUGUGGGGUCCAUUCCACGGGUUCCGUGCCGUAGCUAACGCUUUAAGUACCCCGCCUGGGGAGUACGGCCGCAAGGCUAAAACUCAAAGGAAUUGACGGGGCCCCGCACAAGCGGCGGAGCAUGCGGAUUAAUUCGAUGCAACGCGUAGAACCUUACCUGGGUUUGACAUGGAUCGGGAGUGCUCAGAGAUGGGUGUGCCUCUUUUGGGGUCGGUUCACAGGUGGUGCAUGCCUGUCGUCAGCUCGUGUCGUGAGAUGUUGGGUUAAGUCCCGCAACGGGCGCAACCCUUGUUCACUGUUGCCAGCACGUUAUGGUGGGGACUCAGUGGAGACCGCCGGGGUCAACUCGGAGGAAGGUGGGGAUGACGUCAAGUCCUCAUGCCCCUUAUGUCCAGGGCUUCACGCAUGCUACAAUGGCUGGUACAGAGAGUGGCGAGCCUGUGAGGGUGAGCGAAUCUCGGAAAGCCGGUCUCAGUUCGGAUUGGGGUCUGCAACUCGACCUCAUGAAGUCGGAGUCGCUAGUAAUCGCAAAUCAGCAACGCUGCGGUGAAUACGUUCCCGGGGCU